UGGAUCACCUCCUAACAGGGAGACAACAAAAUGUUAAAUAUUAAUUUUGUCACCUUAGGUCGAUCGGUAUCUCACAUUCUUAUUAAUUUAUUAAGAAUUUUAUUUCCUAAGUUUUUUCUAGGUCACACCCAUAAUUUUCCCUGGGCCAUUAGCUCAGGUGGUUAGAGCGCACCCCUGAUAAGGGUGAGGUCCCUGGUUCAAGUCCAGGAUGGCCCAUAUCUCUAUGUUGGGGGUAUAGCUCAGUUGGUAGAGCGCCUGCUUUGCAAGCAGGAUGUCAGCGGUUCGAGUCCGCUUACCUCCACUGAUUACCACCUCUUCCAUAAUUUAUAGAAGGGAAAUUUUUGAGUUUUGAUCAAAAUCUGAACGAAUCUAGCUUCCUAAUAAUGAUAUUAAGAUGCUGGACUCAUUGAAUUAAUUUUCAUUGUUUUCAGAGAACCUUGACAACUGCAUAGAUUAUUUUUUUAAAGACAAUAAGCAUCUUUAAUGAUGCAGAUUUAUUAUUUGUGCGAAUGCAUUAAAUAACAAUUCUAUUAAGCUGAUGCUUCAAAUUUUGAAGUUAUUGGUUAAGCUACAAAGGGCUCACGGAGGAUACCUAGGCACACAGAGGCGAUGAAGG
rnacentral:tRNA from 1 species